rnacentral:rRNA from 1 species
GUGGGGAAUAUUGGACAAUGGGCGAAAGCCUGAUCCAGCCAUGCCGCGUGAGUGAAGAAGGCCUUAGGGUUGUAAAGCUCUUUCGGCGAGGAAGAUAAUGACGGUACUCGCAGAAGAAGCCCCGGCUAACUCCGUGCCAGCAGCCGCGGUAAUACGGAGGGGGCUAGCGUUGUUCGGAUUUACUGGGCGUAAAGCGCACGUAGGCGGAUUGUUAAGUCGGGGGUGAAAUCCCGGGGCUCAACCCCGGAACUGCCUCCGAUACUGGCAAUCUUGAGGUCGGGAGAGGUGAGUGGAAUUCCUAGUGUAGAGGUGAAAUUCGUAGAUAUUAGGAGGAACACCAGUAGCGAAGGCGGCUCACUGGCCCGAUUCUGACGCUGAGGUGCGAAAGCGUGGGGAGCAAACAGG